AGUGAACGCUGGCGGUAGGCCUAACACAUGCAAGUCGAACGGCAGCACAGUAAGAGCUUGCUCUUACGGGUGGCGAGUGGCGGACGGGUGAGGAAUACAUCGGAAUCUACUUUUUCGUGGGGGAUAACGUAGGGAAACUUACGCUAAUACCGCAUACGACCUACGGGUGAAAGCAGGGGAUCUUCGGACCUUGCGCGAGUGAAUGAGCCGAUGUCGGAUUAGCUAGUUGGCGGGGUAAAGGCCCACCAAGGCGAGGAUCCGUAGCUGGUCUGAGAGGAUGAUCAGCCACACUGGAACUGAGCCACGGUCCAGACUCCUACGGGAGGCAGCAGUGGGGACUAUUGGACAAUGGGCGCAAGCCUGAUCCAGCCAUACCGCGUGGGUGAAGAAGGCCUUCGGGUUGUAAAGCCCUUUUGUUGGGAAAGAAAAGCAGCAGGUUAAUACCCCGCUGUUCUGACGGUACCCAAAGAAUAAGCACCGGCUAACUUCGUG
rnacentral:rRNA from 1 species